rfam:Heterocephalus glaber contig46217, whole genome shotgun sequence.
GGGGAUGUGGCUCCAAGGCAGAGUGCUUGCCUGGCAUGCAUGAAGAUCUAAGUUCGAUCCUUAGCACUGCCA